GUGCCAGCCGCCGCGGUAAUACGGAGGGUGCGAGCGUUAAUCGGAAUUACUGGGCGUAAAGCGCGCGUAGGCGGUUUGUUAAGUGAGAUGUGAAAGACCUGGGCUCAACCUGGGAACGGCAUUUCAUACUGGCAGGCUAGAGUAUGGUAGAGGUGGGUAGAAUUCCUGGUGUAGCGGUGAAAUGCGUAGAGAUCAGGAGGAAUACCGGUGGCGAAGGCGGCCCACUGGACCGAUACUGACGCUGAGGUGCGAAAGCGUGGGGAGCAAACAGGAUUAGAUACCCGGGUAGUCC
rnacentral:rRNA from 1 species